rnacentral:lncRNA from 1 species
AGCUUGGCUGUAUAGGAUCCGUAUUUCUUUAUACUAUUGCUUAUACAACGGUGAGGUUUUAUUACUGCUUGUUUAAUUUCAUUUACCCAAUCAUAGUAAAAGAUGAAACAAUUUACCCAAUCAUAGUAAAAGAUGAAACAAACCAACACACAAGCAGAUUAAUGGAAUGAAAAGAAAAUAAAAAAUGCAAUAUGUAAUUUUGGGGUUACGCUAAAAAAUGGAAAAGAAAUUUUG